ACCUAACACAUGCAAGUCGAGCGCGCCUUUCGGGGUGAGCGGCGGACGGGUUAGUAACGCGUGGGAAUAUGCCCUUUGGUACGGAAUAGCCUCUGGAAACGGAGAGUAAUACCGUAUGAGCCCUUCGGGGGAAAGAUUUAUCGCCAAGGGAUUAGCCCGCGUUAGAUUAGGUAGUUGGUGGGGUAAUGGCCUACCAAGCCUACGAUCUAUAGCUGGUUUUAGAGGAUGAUCAGCAACACUGGGACUGAGACACGGCCCAGACUCCUACGGGAGGCAGCAGUGGGGAAUCUUGGACAAUGGGGGCAACCCUGAUCCAGCCAUGCCGCGUGAGUGAUGAAGGCCUUAGGGUCGUAAAGCUCUUUCGCCUGUGAAGAUAAUGACGGUAGCAGGUAAAGAAACCCCGGCUAACUCCGUGCCAGCAGCCGCGGUAAUACGGAGGGGGUUAGCGUUGUUCGGAAUUACUGGGCGUAAAGCGCACGUAGGCGGAUCGGAAAGUUGGGGGUGAAAUCCCGGGGCUCAACCCCGGAACUGCCCCCAAAACUAUCGGUCUAGAGUUCGAGAGAGGUGAGUGGAAUUCCGAGUGUAGAGGUGAAAUUCGUA
rnacentral:rRNA from 1 species